AUGGCCGUUUCCUCUUGUUUCCCGUUGGCUGCUCGCUGCAGCCUCCUGCUCACGGCAGCGCUGGUCCUAGCGCUGAGCCAUGGAGCCAAUGGUCAUGUCGGUGCCGGUGCUAGGUUGAGCUCGUCCUUUUACGAUGACUCGUGCCCCAGUGCACAUGACAUUGUCCGGCGCGUCAUCCAGAAUGCCCGUGUCGCCGACGCACGCAUCCCAGCCAGCCUCAUCCGCCUCCACUUCCACGACUGCUUUGUUCAGGGCUGUGAUGGCUCACUUUUGCUGGACAACGACCUCCCGGCGAUCAUGACCGAGAAGGAGGUCCCUGCCAACAACAGGUCAGCGCGCGGGUUUGAUGUGGUUGACGACAUCAAGCAUGCACUGGAGAAUGCGUGCCCCGGCAUCGUGUCUUGUGCCGACAUUCUCGCCCUCGCCUCCGAGAUCUCAGUCGAGCUAGCUGGAGGGCCUCGCUGGAGUGUGCCGUUGGGCCGCCGUGAUGGCACGACCACCAAUGUUGAGAGCGCCAACAAUCUCCCAAGCCCCUUCGACUCUCUGCAGAUGCUCCAGGAGAAGUUCAGAAACUUGGGCCUCGACGACACUGACCUUGUCGCCCUCCAAGGAGCGCACACCUUUGGGCGGGCACAAUGCCAAUUCACACAGCAGAACUGCAGUGCCGGGCAGGACGGGGAGACGCUGGUGAACCUCGACACAGUUACCCCUGAUGUCUUCGACAACAAGUACUAUGGCAACCUCUUGCACGGCCGCGCCCCUCUCCCUUCAGACCAGGUAAUGUUGUCCGACCCUGUCGCCGCCACGACCACCGCGCCGAUCGUUCACAGGUUCUCCGGUAACCAGAAGGACUUCUUCAAGAAUUUCGCAGCCUCGAUGGUCAAAAUGGGGAACAUAAGCCCGAUGACUGGAAGGGCUGGGGAGAUUAGGAACAUCUGUCGGAGGGUGAACAAAAAACCCUAUUGA
rnacentral:rRNA from 1 species